CUGUCUUUUUCUUGAUGAACGCUGCCUCACAGGUGAGGAUGAGGAUGAUGUAGCAGUAACAGGGGCAGGUGAUGAACUUUUCCUCACAGAUGAGGAUGAGGAUGAUGUAGCAGUAACAGGGGCAGGUGAUGAACUUUUCCUCACAGAUGAGGAUGAGGAUGAUGUAGCAGUAACAGGGGCAGGUGAUGAACGCUGCCUCACAGGUGAGGAUGAGGAUGAUGUAGCAGUCACAGGGGCAGGUGAUGAACGCUGCCUCACAGGUGAGGAUGAGGAUGAUGUAGCAGUCACAGGGGCAGGUGAUGAACUUUUCCUCACAGGUGAGGAUGAGGAUGAUGUAGCAGUCACAGGAGCAGGUGAUGAACGCUGCACAGAAGACCAAAGACACAAAAAGAAAUACCACAGAUGUAAACAAAAAGUAAAUAUAAAUGCUUGCUUAAUUCAAAGUGCAUUGAUUUAGUUUAAGGGCAAGACAAAUGCAUUUGGAACAAAUAAUGUUUAAAACACAAAAGGGAG
ensembl:lncRNA